rnacentral:rRNA from 1 species
CCUACGGGAGGCAGCAGUGGGGAAUAUUGCACAAUGGGGGAAACCCUGAUGCAGCGACGCCGCGUGAGUGAUGAAGUAUUUCUGGGUGUAAAGCUCUAUCAGUAGAGAAGAAGAAAGACGGUACCUGACUAAGAAGCCCCGGCUAACUACGUGCCAGCAGCCGCGGUAAUACGUAGGGGGCAAGCGUUAUCCGGAUUUACUGGGUGUAAAGGGAGCGUAGAGGGCUUUGUAAGUCUGAGGUGAAAGCCCAGGGCUCAACCGUGGGAUUGCAUUUGAAACUGUGGAUCUAGAGUGCUGUAGAGGUAGGCGGAAUUCGUGGUGUAGCGGUGAAAUGCGUAGAUAUUACGAGGAACACCAGUGGCGAAGGCGGCUUACUGGACAGUAACUGACGUUGAGGCUCGAAAGUGUGGGGAGCAAACAGGAUUAGAUACCCUAGUAGUC